UGGGUUUGCAACAUACAGGUAUGAGCACCUUUUGUAACUUCAAAACUUAGUCAUUUCAGAUUUAUUGCCCUAAAUUUAAUACAAUAUAUACAUGUAAUAAUUUCAAGGCAGCAAUAUUCUCUUGAUGAGUAAAAUUGUAUGCCAUUAGACAGAGUAAAAUAACAAAAUAGGCCAAUUUUUAAUACAUACAAAUCUCGUAUUCAAAAGUUAGCAAGUAUUCAAAUGAAAAUUGUGAGAUUUAAUAGGACUUUCAAAUCAUAUUUUGAUAGAUCAGAGCC